AAUGGCACCCAGCGAUCGUGCAAGCCUCCCUUUCUGCUGCCUCACCCAACCUGUAGGGAUUUAUCCAAGUGCAUUAAAUAGAAGAGCUUUCCACGGGAACAAAAAAUAUUGUUUGACUGGGCUGAAUAACUGACAGUAGUGUGAAUUGCAAAGGGACGACAUCAACACAGACUGAAUAUUCAGCAUGAAUGCUGACAUUUCUUGAACUAUGCAUAAUAGCUGGGAAGAACAAGCACAUUUCCGGAGACUUGUUGGGAGAAAUCCAUAAGAAGUAUUAGACUAUGACCAGGUAACCCCACCGGAGCAGUCCAACAUCUUUAGGAAAACUGUGUGGACUAUGAGUAUCCCGGCUUCCAGGAGCUCUGCACUCCCCCAUCACACACCCCAGGGAUGAUGAAGACCCAUCUGCCUCAGCUCAUCUCCCAGACCCUUCAUACACAUUUCACUGUGACCAGUGCUGUCACAAGUGAUGGCGUACCUGCCUCGCUGGAACCAGAUGCACGUUCUACUGUCUGCUCAGUUGCCAAG
ensembl:lncRNA